rnacentral:rRNA from 1 species
CACUAUCGUUAACUGAAUACAUAGGUUAACGAGGCGAACCGGGGGAACUGAAACAUCUAAGUACCCCGAGGAAAAGAAAUCAACCGAGAUUCCCCCAGUAGCGGCGAGCGAACGGGGAGCAGCCCAGAGUCUGAAUCAGCUUGUGUGUUAGUGGAACGGUCUGGAAAGUCCGACGGUACAGGGUGAUAGUCCCGUACACCAAAAUGCACAGGUUGUGAACUCGAAGAGUAGGGCGGGACACGUGGUAUCCUGUCUGAAUAUGGGGGGACCAUCCUCCAAGGCUAAAUACUCCUGACUGACCGAUAGUGAACCAGUACCGUGAGGGAAAGGCGAAAAGAACCCCGGCGAGGGGAGUGAAAAAGAACCUGAAACCGUGUACGUACAAGCAGUGGGAGCACCUUCGGGUGUGACUGCGUACCUUUUGUAUAAUGGGUCAGCGACUUAUAUUCUGUAGCAAGGUUAACCGUAUAGGGGAGCCGCAGGGAAACCGAGUCUUAACUGGGCGUUAAGUUGCAGGGUAUAGACCCGAAACCCGGUGAUCUAGCCAUGGGCAGGUUGAAGGUUGGGUAACACUAACUGGAGGACCGAACCGACUAAUGUUGAAAAAUUAGCGGAUGACUUGUGGCUGGGGGUGAAAGGCCAAUCAAACCGGGAGAUAGCUGGUUCUCCCCGAAAGCUAUUUAGGUAGCGCCUCGUGAACUCAUCUUCGGGGGUAGAGCACUGUUUCGGCUAGGGGGUCAUCCCGACUUACCAACCCGAUGCAAACUACGAAUACCGAAGAAUGUUAUCACGGGAGACACACGGCGGGUGCUAACGUCCGUCGUGAAGAGGGAAACAACCCAGACCGCCAGCUAAGGUCCCAAAGUCAUGGUUAAGUGGGAAACGAUGUGGGAAGGCACAGACAGCCAGGAUGUUGGCUUAGAAGCAGCCAUCAUUUAAAGAAAGCGUAAUAGCUCACUGGUCGAGUCGGCCUGCGCGGAAGAUGUAACGGGGCUAAACCAUGCACCGAAGCUGCGGCAGCGACACUAUGUGUUGUUGGGUAGGGGAGCGUUCUGUAAGCCUGCGAAGGUGUGCUGUGAGGCAUGCUGGAGGUAUCAGAAGUGCGAAUGCUGACAUAAGUAACGAUAAAGCGGGUGAAAAGCCCGCUCGCCGGAAGACCAAGGGUUCCUGUCCAACGUUAAUCGGGGCAGGGUGAGUCGACCCCUAAGGCGAGGCCGAAAGGCGUAGUCGAUGGGAAACAGGUUAAUAUUCCUGUACUUGGUGUUACUGCGAAGGGGGGACGGAGAAGGCUAUGUUAGCCGGGCGACGGUUGUCCCGGUUUAAGCAUGUAGGCUGGUUGUCCAGGCAAAUCCGGAUAAUCAAGGCUGAGGUGUGAUGACGAGGCACUACGGUGCUGAAGUAACAAAUGCCCUGCUUCCAGGAAAAGCCUCUAAGCAUCAGGUAACAUCAAAUCGUACCCCAAACCGACACAGGUGGUCAGGUAGAGAAUACCAAGGCGCUUGAGAGAACUCGGGUGAAGGAACUAGGCAAAAUGGUGCCGUAACUUCGGGAGAAGGCACGCUGGUGUGUAGGUGAAGUCCCUGCGGAUGGAGCUGAGACCAGUCGAAGAUACCAGCUGGCUGCAACUGUUUAUUAAAAACACAGCACUGUGCAAACACGAAAGUGGACGUAUACGGUGUGACGCCUGCCCGGUGCCGGAAGGUUAAUUGAUGGGGUUAUCCGUAAGGAGAAGCUCUUGAUCGAAGCCCCGGUAAACGGCGGCCGUAACUAUAACGGUCCUAAGGUAGCGAAAUUCCUUGUCGGGUAAGUUCCGACCUGCACGAAUGGCGUAAUGAUGGCCAGGCUGUCUCCACCCGAGACUCAGUGAAAUUGAACUCGCUGUGAAGAUGCAGUGUACCCGCGGCAAGACGGAAAGACCCCGUGAACCUUUACUAUAGCUUGACACUGAACAUUGAGCCUUGAUGUGUAGGAUAGGUGGGAGGCUUUGAAGCGUGGACGCCAGUCUGCGUGGAGCCAACCUUGAAAUACCACCCUUUAAUGUUUGAUGUUCUAACGUUGGCCCCUGACCGGGGUUGCGGACAGUGUCUGGUGGGUAGUUUGACUGGGGCGGUCUCCUCCCAAAGCGUAACGGAGGAGCACGAAGGUUAGCUAAUCCUGGUCGGACAUCAGGAGGUUAGUGCAAUGGCAUAAGCUAGCUUGACUGCGAGCGUGACGGCGCGAGCAGGUGCGAAAGCAGGUCAUAGUGAUCCGGUGGUUCUGAAUGGAAGGGCCAUCGCUCAACGGAUAAAAGGUACUCCGGGGAUAACAGGCUGAUACCGCCCAAGAGUUCAUAUCGACGGCGGUGUUUGGCACCUCGAUGUCGGCUCAUCACAUCCUGGGGCUGAAGUAGGUCCCAAGGGUAUGGCUGUUCGCCAUUUAAAGUGGUACGCGAGCUGGGUUUAGAACGUCGUGAGACAGUUCGGUCCCUAUCUGCCGUGGGCGCUGGAGAAUUGAGGGGGGCUGCUCCUAGUACGAGAGGACCGGAGUGGACGCAUCACUGGUGUUCGGGUUGUCAUGCCAAUGGCACUGCCCGGUAGCUAAAUGCGGAAGAGAUAAGUGCUGAAAGCAUCUAAGCACGAAACUUGCCCCGAGAUGAGUUCUCCCUGAGACUAUAAGUCUCCUGAAGGAACGUUAAAGACGAUGACGUUGAUAGGCCGGGUGUGUAAGCGCAGCGAUGCGUUGAGCUAACCGGUACUAAUGAACCGUGAGGCUUAACCUU